rnacentral:rRNA from 1 species
AUUGAACGCUGGCGGCAGGCCUAACACAUGCAAGUCGAGCGGCAGCGGAAAGUAGCUUGCUACUUUGCCGGCGAGCGGCGGACGGGUGAGUAAUGUCUGGGAAACUGCCUGAUGGAGGGGGAUAACUACUGGAAACGGUAGCUAAUACCGCAUAACGUCGCAAGACCAAAGAGGGGGACCUUCGGGCCUCUUGCCAUCAGAUGUGCCCAGAUGGGAUUAGCUAGUAGGUGGGGUAAUGGCUCACCUAGGCGACGAUCCCUAGCUGGUCUGAGAGGAUGACCAGCCACACUGGAACUGAGACACGGUCCAGACUCCUACGGGAGGCAGCAGUGGGGAAUAUUGCACAAUGGGCGCAAGCCUGAUGCAGCCAUGCCGCGUGUAUGAAGAAGGCCUUCGGGUUGUAAAGUACUUUCAGCGGGGAGGAAGGUGUUGAGGUUAAUAACCUCAGCAAUUGACGUUACCCGCAGAAGAAGCACCGGCUAACUCCGUGCCAGCCGCCGCCGUAA